AUCCAACUGAUGAGUCUCAAAUAGGACGAUACGCGAGUCCUGGAU
rnacentral:hammerhead_ribozyme from 1 species